AAGACCUUUUAUUAGAAAUGAAAAAUCCUUACACAAAUGUCUAUUUGAUCCAUUCCACAAGCCCAUGCUCCGGUCUGGACCAAAUUCAGACAAAAGAAAAAGGAAAGUUGUAGAGCAAAAAUCAAAACAACAAAAAAAUCAGCAAAAGAAAAUGAAAAAUCGACGCCUCAUCCUCUUCCAAUUGACUUGAUGCUUGCUACUACUCGGAUGUGCAUUGAUUCAGACAGGUAGAUGAACGAUGAAUUUUCUUUGUUGUCAAAAGAUGCUCAUUGUUGCAGAAUCAACUGAGUUUUGGGUGUUUUCACUCAAGAUGUUUAAAGUCUCACAAACGUCAUGAAAUCAGCCCAAUCGAAGACUUUUUCACCUCAAUUGAACGCAAAUUUGAACUCCUUCACAAAGAUAAGUUAAUUAUCUACCUGCUAUUGUGUCCUCAUGGUUUUAAUUGUCAAUUUCACCUAUCUCUCUACCCCUUGACAGAUUGAGCUCAUCAAAGGAGCUGAUACUACUGUCUAAAAGCUUGAAAGAAGCAAAUCUAUUGACAAUUUUAUCUGACUCAGAUUGCCACCUUCUGUCUCCUUGGUCCAAUCUAGUUAAUCCAUGUAUUUGCAUAUUAUGAGAUUGGGCUCAUUUUUGCAUUGUUGUAAUCUUUGUUUGACCGUGUUGUAACUGUGGUGUCCCCUGCAUAUCCAUUAUGUGUAUCAUGUUGACCUCUUGCUUGUGUGUUGUUGUUAUGAAUAAUGUAUUUAUAAUCAGUCUGUCCAACUGUUGCUUUAUUGUUGAUUGCUGAUUGUUAAAGUAUAUGCCUAUUGUCCACAUUAAAGGUUCCAUUUUGUAACUUUUUAAUCCUCAAAUUUUGAACUUGAGCUUUAUCCAUGUUCAACAACUCCAUUGCUUCUUUUGGUAGCUAUUGGAAAGUAUUAUAACUCACCCUGUCUACACCUGGAAAACAAAAAACUUUGUUAGCAAUAAAAUCAGCAACUUUGUUGCCUUCUCUGAAAGUGUGAUCCACCACUGCUGGGACCUCCUCCAUGAGGGUUUUUACUCUUUUUAUUUCCAAUGAAAUACUCCACUGAACCUCCUACUUCCCUUUCAUGAUUUUUAUAACUGAUAAUGAAUCAGUUUCUAGGCACACUGGAAGCAGAUUGCGAUUAAUGCAAUAUUCAAGUCCCAUUCUCAAAGCCGCUACUUCAGCCUCCAAAUUUUAAGAAUCGCGAAUUCUUUUACCUUCUGUAUAAAUCAUAUUCCCACCAUCAUCUCAAAUACAAAAUGCAAUAGAGAUCAGGCCAGGAUGGCCCUUUGAAGCUCCAUCAGAAUUGCGUUUGUAUUGACCUCGGCUAGGCAUCUUCCAGUUUACCACUGUACACCCAAUCCUUGGUGUAUAUGCAGCCAUGAAUCUCACUAAUUCAGGCUAAGAAUCUGAUAUAUUCUUCAACCAUGGGAAAAAUAAUUUUGCCAGAUAUACCAAAUUCCUAGUAAUCUCUAUCUUCAUGCUAAAAUAUGACUUCUUACUUCCAUGUUUAAUACAAUUUCUUCCCUUCCAAAUCUGCCACAAAAUAAACAUUGGCAUAGUUUUAUACAGUGCAUUGAGUUUAGAACCAGUUAUAGCUUUUCACCACUUGAGAACACUAUCUUUUAGCUAUAGAAAAGGACCAUCAACACCUGCAGUAUAUGCAAAAUAAUUUCAUGGAUUGUUAGACAUCCUACACUGCAUAAAUAAAUGGUUAAUAGUUUCUUGUAUCCCUUCAUCACAGCAGCAACAGAUCACACUAUCAGCCAUGUUCGUCCUAAUAAGAAUUUUCGCUAUUGGUAGUCUCUCCAUCCAUAACCUCCACAAGAAAAAGGAUACCUUAAACGGUACACCUUUCAUCCAUAAAGUUUUAAAAUUCUGUUGGAUUUCAUCCUUUUGUCUUAUAUUGUCCCAAGCAGAGCCCACAGUAAACUUACCUGUCUCAUUCAACAUCCACCAGGCCUUGUCCCAUUUGUCUGAUUCUUCCUCACACUUCACAUAAUUCAUAAUAUUAUGUCAUACCUCAUCCCCAAAAUUAUGUUGCAACAGAUCCACAUUCCAGCCACCAUUUAUGAAUAAUUGAUUCACUUCUUCAAGUUGGUGAUCUUUAGUAACAUUAAUCCAAUUGUGUCCAGUUGUCAUACCAGACACUAGAAUGUCCACACUUGGGUUCCCACCAUAUUUCUUGAUCAAGAAUAUCCAUGACCUCUAAUAUAUGUUCCCAAGUCAGUGAGCCUCCUUUCCACUCCACCAGUUGUGGCCUCACUUUUUUGAAAUACUUAUUCUAUAUAUAAUUAGUCUAUAAAAAUUUUUGGGUUCUAAAAAUCUACCAUAAUUUAGCAAACAAAGUUUUGGAUACAUCAGAGAGGGAUCUAAAUCCCAAACCCCCUUUUUCUUUAGGUCUGCAAAUAUCACUCCAAGCAACUCAAUGUUUAUUAGUGCCUACUUCCUUAAAAUUUCAUAGAAAUCUUGCAAAGAUUCUAUGUAAAUCAUAAAUGACACACUUAGGAGGGACUAUGGAAGACAAAAGAUACAUGGGAAUGCUAGUAAGAACAUUAUUAAUAAGAACAGUCUUACCACCAAAGGAUAGAAUCCUCCCUUUUCAUGCUUGGAGUUUGUUAUGGACUUUUUUCAUUAGCUCUGUAAAAUGGACCUUCUUCUUCUUUGCAUGUCCGAUUGGACAACCAAGACAAAUUUAAAGGAUUUUUUCUCGAAUGAAUCCAAUACUCUCUUCCAUUUCUUUGAUAUGAGCAUGAGAAGUCUUAUGAUAUAUAAAGAAAGAACUUUUAUCCUUGUUGAUCAUUUGACCAAACUGUUGCUAAUAUUCCCUGAGAAUAUUCAUCAUUAUUUUCAGAGAUAAUCUGUCAGCAGAACUAAAGAUGAUGGUAUCAUCCGCAUAUGCAAGAUGAUUAAUAUUCUCACUCCACUUAGGCAUGCCAUAACACCUAUAUUCAGCUUUCUGAAAAAAAAAAAUUAAGGUUUCUUGAUAAAACCUUCGCAGAUAAAAUGAAUAAAGAAAGAAAUAGAGGGUCUCCUUGUUUUACUUCUCUUAUGGAAUGGAAAAAACCAUGAGCUUGACCAUUGAUGAGAACUGAAUACCAAUUGUUGGCCACUAAUCUCCAUAUUUUAUCAACUACAUCACCAUCAAAACCAAAAUUUUCCAAUAUCUUAGUCAUAUCAAGUUUGAUCACCACAUUAGCCUAUUUUACUCUUAACCUUAUAUCAGAAAUAAUUUCCUGGGCCAAAAGGACAUUUUUAGUUAUAUUCCUGCCCUUUAACAAAAGUGAUUGAUUUCUGGAGAUUAUCCCAGAAAGCAAACCCUCAAUCCUGUGAUGCAAGACCCUAGAAAUAACUUUAUUCAGAAAAUUGCUCAAACUAAUUGGUCUCAUAUCAGAAAAAAAUUGUACAAUGUCUCUUUUUUGGUAAAAGGACCAAAUUUGUGAGUGUGAUGAACUUAGAAAGUGUAUUGCCCUUAGAAACGGCAACAAUACCUUAAAAACAUCUUCCCCUACUAUUUUCCAACAACUUUGAAAAAAGUAUCCUGUAAAACCAUCCGGGCCACCAGCAGUGUUACCAUUUAAUUCAAAUACUACCUUUCUUUCUUUUUGGUAAGCAAACCAUUAAUGGCUAUGUUGGCUUCUUCAGUAACCAGGGUAGGUAUAUGUUUCAGUAAAGUACAUUCUCUAUCACUACUAAUACUUGAAAAUUGAUUUUGAUAAAAUGCUAAAGCUUCAUUAGCCACCUGAUCAACUCCCUCUGCCCAUUGACCAUCACCUUUCUUGAUUCUUUGAAUAGAAAGUCUUUUCUCCUUUCAUUGACAAGACUAUGAAAGAAUCUGGAAUUCUUUUCUCCUUCUGAAAACCAUUGUAUGCCAGCUUUUGUCCUUCAAAAUUCUUCAUAAUAAAUAUAUUGUUUCAAUUCAGCUCGAGCCUUAUGAAGCACCAUUCUAUUCAAACCAGAUGGUAAUUCUUCAAAAAGUUUCUCCUUUAACCUAACUAUCUCGUCCCUGAUUAUCAGUUGUUUAAAAAUAUCUCCAAAUUUAUCAUUGCUCUAUUUAUUCAAAGCAGCUUUAGUCUUCUUCAAUUUAUGCUUAAGACCAAUACAAAUAUCAGCUUACUCUCCAGACACCCAAUUUGAUCUAACAAACUUGCUGAAAAUUUGUUUUCUCGAUCUAGAAAUUGAGAAAUCUGAAUGGUUUCCUCAGUGUUGAAGAUUGAUUUCCACAAGAUAUAAGCAAUGGUGCAUGAUCAGAUCCAAUCCUAGCCAAAUGCUCAAGCUCCUUGGACGCAAAACUACUUAAAAAGUUAUGAUUCACCAAAAGCUUGUCAAGCCUUUUGAAAAUACAAUCAUUAUCAAUCCUACCAUUCCACCAAGUGAACGGACUCCUUUUAAAAUUAACGUUUACUAAUUCACAAGAAUUAACACAAAAGUAAAAAUCUUCAUAUUCUUGUGGGUAUACAGGAAGACCCCCUAUCUUUUCCAUUUUGAUUGUAGUUUGCAUAUUGCAUACCCAACCUUCUUUUGUACUUCUAAAUUUGGUUAACAUCUUGAAAAGGCUCCAUCAAUGCAACAAUGGAGAAUUUAUGAUAUCUAUGUAACAUCUGAAUUCUGUGAAAUAAAUUUGGAUCCUCACAGACCUUACAUUCCAUAAUAAAGCUUUCAUCAUGAUUUGAACCUUGAUAUGACAUUUCUCUUGGGAUUUACCCUGCUAGGCAGUGUCUCUCCCACAUUUCUGCUUUUAUUAUUCUUUGAGGAAGUUUGGGGUGAUAUCCCUGUCAUCUUAAAUACUGAAUCUUCAAUAAGUUAGUUAUUCUCCUCCCCUUUAUCUUCAAUUUGCUCUACCUGAUGUGAUCUUAUAAGCUGUGUAUCUGUUGUACUGAAGUGAUGUGAAACUAACUGAUGAAGAGUGUUGUUGGGGGCUGAUUUUCUGCUAGCUCUUGAGUUCCCUUAUUAUAUUCAGCAUCUGUAUCCAAUAAUAGCAUAUUUUUGUUUGCAACCUGAGGAUAAGAUCCUACCAUCUCUCCGGUAGUGAUGAUUUCCUGAGAUCUGUCAAUUUGCAGAGGUUCAUGAUAGGUAACUGUUGAUAUGGAUUUUCCAUUCUGCGCUCUAUUUGUAUCAAAUCAUUUUUACUCCAUGAAGUUGUACUUGUUUGCUCAUUCCCAAAAUCUUGAACUGUAUUCAAAGAUUCUACCAUUGCCUGCGUCUUGUGAUAUUCUGUAACUGUUGUAAUUGCUAGUUCAUGCUCUUUUUCUAACUCAUGCCUAAUGACAUUAUGUUGAUUGUGUUUUGCCUUUUGUUUGGGAUUGUCAUCUCUCUGCUUUUGAAGUAACUGGUCACUCUCUUCCCUUUCCUUGUUUUUACACAGAUCAUUCACUUAACAUGUUGUUACGUCCCCCAUGUUGUGUUUAUUUUCUUCAUUGUUACUUGACCCCCUUGGUUAUCUACACACUCCUCUGCAGCAUCUUGAUGUAGUACCUUAAAUGAGUUGGCAGUGCUAAUUUCACUGUUGGUAUUGGCCCUUUCCUCUUUUUCAUUCAUUAACUUUGUGGUGUGCCUUUAUCAAGCUUAAAUUUCCUGCUCGUUGGGUUUCAUUUUGCAUAAACCACUCUUCCAUUAUUGAAUCUUUUGUGUACUUCUGCAGCUUCUUGCCCCUCUUUAUUACCCAUUUUUCUUUCCUGUUUAUCCUCCACUAUAAUGUUCCUUAACUCGGGAUGUAAACUUCUGCAAUCAACCUCAUCAUGACCUUGAAGUUCACAAGUAUAACAAUGCUUAGGCAACUCAUCAUAUUAUAUCUUCACCUUUUGGACUUUCCUUUCAUAACCUCUUCCAUCAACUACCUCUAGCUCCACAUAGUCAGGUAAUUUUGCAGCUAAAUGUAUUUGGACUUUGACCCUUGCACAACUAGGUUGGAUCUUAUUAACUGUAGCCAUAUCCAAUUGGAAUGGCUUUCCAACAGCAGAUGUAAGAGAAAAAAAGGAUUCCUUGACCAAAAAAGGUAGGCAGCAAGUCGGGGAAAGAAUCCAUAUCAUGACUUGGGGUAGUUUCUUCCUUCGGAUUAAAAUUAGCAUCAUAUAUGAAUGGACACAUUUGAUAUGUUAAACCAUCUUUUGCAGUAAUGUAGUAUAUGUUUUUCGACAUCAUGUUCACAAAGUCCUCCAUUCUACUAAACUUCAUCGGGAUAUGUUUGUUCCGAAGUAGUCCUAUUUUGAAUUCUCCCUUUAUUUUACACUAAUUUGGAAUUUGAAUUCUCAAGUCAUUCAAAUCAGGUCAUCCAUAUGAGAAUUUUCCUAUCACUGCAAAUUGGAACUCUUCAAUGAUAUUUCAUUAUUU